GCAGGUCGCAGGUGAAGUUGACAUCCUAAUUAAGUAUCAAACGGUUAGUUAUACUUUGCCCGCCUGAGACACAAAGUUUGGAGAGGCCUCUGGAAGAAGAAACUCUGAAGCAGUCAUAGUUUGAACUCACAACAAACAAACAAACUUAUCAACAAGGAGAGUUAUCCUGUUUUCCAGCGUGGCUAGAUGAGGACGCUAGAUGAUGUGCUCUUCUGGGACAAAUGACCGACACAGGAAUAUUGUGGAUAUUAUGGACAACUUCAUCUCCACUCAAGAACAGGAAAUGGACACGAUGGCUCAAGCAAUCACCGGCAACAUCGCAUCAUUACACUCACAGGAUGAAACUCCAGAACGAAGCGGAUAACAAAAAAAAAAAAAUCUUAGCACACGUCCCUGGUAUCUAAUCUAAGCAGCAACUCUGUGGCUGUGAAAUGAAGCCAAUGUGGAAGGUGCCAAAAACUGCAAUUUUUUCAAACGGCCACUUGAGGCUGGCUACAAAACAGGUCAUCUCUCAACAAGCCCCCAUGGUCUCUGUAGAUAAUUUUUCAGUUCAUGACAACUGUACUGAAUUUCUAUUUGCCUCUAACUCAGAAUUCUAUUAGGGCUUAAGGCAUGCAUAAACAACAGCCUGGCUGCUUUGAUUGACAGGUGGGUGCCAUUACAGAUGGCUUGUUUGAGCACCGAGGUGUCAUUCAGCCUGCCUCACGUCCAUAGACAAUCCACGUCUUUGCCCAUUUUUAGGUUAGCCAGAAGGAGACAGAGGCAGGGCUGUCAAGAUGGCAGAGCCACCACGCUGAGCUUCAAAACAGCUCUUCAUAAACCUGUGGGUGACGUCACAGAUACAACGUCCAUUCUUUAUACUGUCAAUGGGUGAAAGUAGCUUAGUCCAUAGCUCUGGAACUCCACCAUCCCUCUACAAUUGCAUGUCUGUAAGCCCUGUGUGUCUUGUGUGUGUGUACAUAGUUAUAUUUCAUGCAUAUGUAUGUUAAAAUCACUCUUCUUCCUUUCUCCUCUCUUUCUAUCCUCAUUCAAAAAACAUCUUAACAGUCUAUUCAUGUGGGUGAGUAUUCACGGGUGUCAGACUGAAUAAAUAAUCUUUUGCCAAACAGAAAUGCAUUUGUAAUUGUCAAGUAAAGUAAUAAUGUGUGGGGAAUAAAUCAAUUAAAUGUACUUACAUUUUUUUUCAACACCACUGCACAAAUAAGGAAUCCAAUUUGGGGUUAUGCAGAACUGUUGUAAUUAAGGGAAACAUCCAUGCAUGAUGAGAGUAAUUCAUGAUAAUUAUAUUCAAUCGUAAUUACUAUAUGUGGUCUGAAAAGUUUAUUAAGUAUACUUAACUUGUAAAUAAGGUAUUUGCAUACUAAUAAAGUCUGCAUGGAUACAGUACUGUUUGUUAAAGCCUGAAUCAUUGAUUAGCAAAUUAUUGGACCAUCGUUCCAGUCCAGCAGAGAGCACUUUGGUUGUUACUUGGUGUAUUAUCUGUUGAAACAACAGUUGUACACCAGAAACAUACCAUAGGGGACUAUCAGCUGCUGAAGUGCUGUUUUUGUUUACACCCACAUUCAGGUAGGAAUGGAACACGUAAUACUUUUUUCUGGGGGUUUAUUGUGAAACUGGUUCAUAACUUUGGGAAUUUGCCAUUCAGUUGGGAGCUACUGUAGAAUGCUGGAAUUUGACUACUUGACAGAAUAUGCGAUUGAUUACUUCUAAUAAAUGUGUAACAACAUUUUGUCAGUGAGGAUCAGUGUAGCCUGGGGAGUUUAGUAUAGCUGUUCUGCAGCAUCAGAGAGAACCCUCUGUCCAUGACUAAAGAGAUAUUGCUGACCCCCUCUUGUACAGGCCAAAGUCCAUCCCUGAGGCUGUGGUGUUAGCUCAUAACCAUAUCUGCUCUCAGCAUAUUAUAUUUUCCUCCAGCAUUCAAUCAUUGCCUUAGGCAGGCAGGAGAAACAAACGAAAAAAAACAAAACAAGAGACAUCUGAUGGACAGAUAGAUGGAGUAGGAGAGUCGGAAAGAGCAGUAGGAGUGAAAAAGUGACUCAGAUAUUAAAGAGCAAGAAACAAACAGGAGGAGGGAGGUGCAUUUCUUGUUGCCUGCUGUGAUAUUGUCAGUGGAGAGUAGUAACGAAGCAGAUCGUUUAGCCAAGGUGGCUCUCUAAUUGUGUAGCUGACAGCAAUUAGAUGGCGCUCGUUAAAGCAAUGCCCUCAUUGGGUUAGACCACUCGAGGCAGAGGGAGUUGCUGCAGAGUGCAAGUGUGUCUUAAACUGUGGGGCAGGACCCAAAAUUGGUGGACAGCCAAGGUGACUGUUGGCGGGUUACCAUAUGUCACACUAAUUAAUUAGACUGGAUCUUUUGGUAAAAUAUCUUAAUUUGGCUUCUUGUUUGGUUAGGU